rnacentral:rRNA from 1 species
GACAGAGGAGCCAAGCGUUGUCCGGAUUGACUGGGCGUAAAGCGCACGCAGGCGGCUGUGCACGUGGGGUGUGAAAGCUGGCGGCUUAACUGCCAGACGCCACCUCAUACGGCACGGCUCGAGCCCGUGAGAGGUCCACGGAAUUGCCGGUGUAGUGGUGAAAUGCGUAGAGAUCGGCAGGAACACCCAGGGGGAAACCAGUCGACUGGGGCAGCACCUGACGCUGAGGUGCGAGAGCGCGGGGAGCGAACGGG